rnacentral:rRNA from 1 species
CAGUCGCCGCGGUAAUACGGAGGGUGCAAGCGUUAAUUGGAAUUACUGGGCGUAAAGCGCACGCAGGCGGUCUGACAAGUCAGAUGUGAAAUCCCCGGGCUUAACCUGGGAACUGCAUUUGAAACUGUCAGGCUGGAGUCUUGUAGAGGGGGGUGGAAUUCCAGGUGUAGCGGUGAAAUGCGUAGAGAUCUGGAGGAAUACCGGUGGCGAAGGCGGCCCCCUGGACAAAGACUGACGCUCAGGUGCGAAAGCGUGGGGAGCAAACAGGAUUAGAUACCCCUGUAGUCCAUGUCUCUUAUAC